UAAGGUAAGAUCCCUGUAAUGGAAUCGGGUUUUUCCGUGCCAUGUCGGCUUUCUACGUAACUUAUCGGCACAUCCGUUACCUCUCGCCCGUUUCCGUAAACAGAUUAUUUUUUAUUUCUAAAUGAAUAAAUUAUCCGUAUAUUUAUAUCCAAUACAAAUAGAAAUUUAGUUUUUGAUAAAAUGAAAAUGAAAUUAUCAAAAAGUAUAUGUUGUUUGUAAACGGAUAAUUCGUAAAAACCCCGUUGCUGUGAAACCAGGUUGGGAAACCCCUAUAUGACGUCACGAUCCGCAGAAGUGAAAAUGAAAGUAAGAGACAGAAAAGGCCGUUACAAGGCCAAAAACAAACGCAAGUUGAGAAAAGAACCUAAUAUUCUUGUGGAUCAUAAUAACCCUCACGUAUUGAGCAUUUGUAAGUGCAGAAUUGGUAAUUGUCCAAUUUAUGAACACCGACAGAAGGGAUCGGCAGGUGGGUGGAGAAAAGCUAGACGGGUGAUUGAGUUCGACGAUUUAGUUAGAAAUUUAGCUCACUGCAAGGAAUGUCGUCUUGGACCUUUAUUCUCACAAGCGACAACAUUGUGGGGGAGCUGCAAAAUGGCUUGGGUGGCUAUCUGUACGUUAUGUGUUCGAAUUUAGAGUGAGGAGCUGUAAAUUUGGUUUCAUAUGGAACAACACACCACAACAAAACGAAGGGGAUUUCCUGCUUUGAAAUAAACACAAAGCUUGGAUUUGCAAUGAUUGACAGCAUUGGUGGGGCUGUCAAAGUUAACAAUUUCCUUGCCACCCUUGAUCUUAAGCUGAUAAGCCUAGAAAAUCUGAAGGAAAUGGAGAGAAGGGCUGGUGAAGUGAUAGAAGCUGUCUCAUCAGAAUCACAGAGACGGUCAGCUGAAGAGGCUUACAAAUAAAGAAAUGGAGUAUUGGUCAUACAACAGACCCAGAUAUACAGACCUUACCAGAUGCAGUUUCUAAGGGAAAGUUCAAGCCAGUAAAGACAGAAAAUCCUACAUUUAUAACAUUUGAUUUGGAAACUACAGAUCUAAUUCGAGGUUCACAGAUGCCACAUAUAACACAGAUUGCAGCUAAAGAAAUAAAGACUGCUGCUUCAUUUAAUCAAUAUUUAAUUCCUCCAAUGCCAAUAGCAGUAGAACCUCAACGAAUAACUGGCAUAAAAUUCACAGAUGAUGGUUAUAUGACAAAUUCACUGAUGAUGGUUAUAUGACUGUACAUUAUCAUAGUGAAAAUGUUAAUAAAUGUACAUGAAUCUUUAGAUAAUAAAAUAAAUAAAUACAAGGGAUGAUCUUGGAUUUGCAUGUAAGAUCAAAAUGUAUUUCAUAAAGUUAACGUCAGAUGCAACAUUUUUAUUAGUGGCAUAGCCAUGAGUUUUAGUAUAAAAGCUAAUGCUAAUGAGUAGAAUACACAUACCCAUUGAUACUAGUAUAAUUUUAUCUAACAUGUGAAGUACCGGUAAACAAUAUUUAUGUUUAUUCUGUGACUCUGUGACUGUUUAGUCAUUUUAUUGCUUUUUACAUGAUAGGGUCAUUUAAAUUUAUUGUGAAAUGGAAGUUUCGUCCGUUAUGAGCAACCAGAACUGGAUCGGGAACUUCCUGAUGUCAUCAAAUCAUGACAUCAUAAUGUUCAUGUUGAAAAUAUUCGUGUUAAAAGUAAAUCUAUAACAGUAUCAAGAUUUUGAGAAUGUGAUGUAUGCAAAUUUAUAAUAUACUAGUGCCAAUGUUGUGACUUCAUAAAAAUGGUAUUGUAUGACUGUGCAUAUAUUUAGAUCUGAUGUCAUUUCUGUUAUACAAACAUAAAGACACCAUAAAUGUUAGAGUUACAUUUAAGGCGCAUCAAUGGAGAAUUAUUUUUUUUUAUUUUAAACAGUCUUUAUUUUGUGCAUGUGAUACAUAGAAUAUUAUAUUUAUGUAGGUUCGUUACUGCAUUGAUUCAAUUCGUUGAAUGUAAUAAUAAUUUGCUCGCCAGUACUAAAUUCAGUAUUGAACAUUGAACACUCCUUCAAUAUCCUCUAUAUAUCAGCUUUUGUGUUAUUAUGUUCUGAUAUUUUGGAAGUGAAAUUAUUUAAAUAUUAUUUCAAUAUUUUACUGAGAGGAUGCAAUGAAUUCAAGUAGUUUCUUGUGAUGAAAUAGUUAUUCUUGUAAUAAAUUUCAAUAAUUUUCCUGUUAGAUUUUGGAAGUUAAGCAAUGAAAUUUUUGAGAAUGUGAACAUGACAAAUAUUAUAAAACAAUAUUUGAAGAUUUCAUUUUAAUGACUGUACAUUUAUUAAGAUAGCCUCUGUUUAGAAAAACACAUAAAUAAUCAUAUUUUACAAAAUCUGCUGUUUUCCAAGAGAUAAGUAAGACAGGUAACAGCUAUGCUGUACAUUUUUUUUUCGGAAAAUUUUUUUACAUCAUUUUGUAAAACACAUUUUUGUCAAAAAAGUAAUGUGGAAAGAGGUCAUGAAAUUUCCAUAUUUUGAUUGCUAUGGAAGAGUUAUAAAAGUUAUAGAAGUAAUUUGCUUGCCCCAAUUCAAAUAUUAAAAAAAAUAAUAAUAAUAAUUCUUAUUUUAUAUCUAUUUUUAUGUGUUUUUUUUUAAGUUUCAGAAAUCUUGGAUGAGGUUUUAGUCAAUUGGCUGAAAUCAAUACAUUUUGUGAACAGUUUAUUGUUAUUUUGUUAUCAUAAUAUAUGUCUUGAAACAUAAUAAACACUUACAUUGUAGGUAAAAGCUGCAGAAUUUUUUUUUUCAUAUAUAUUCCUUACCCCUACCCCCACUGUUUUGGGGGCAAUUUAGUGGGAGGGGGUAUUCACAUAAAAAUGCUUAUAAUUUGAAAACUUGAUGGUAAAUGUCUUUGAAAAGUUGCAAUUGAAUAAGUUAAAUAGAGUACUUUGAUAAAAUAAUAAGCUUGAUCAGGUUCCUAAAUAUACCCAUUACAGGUAUCUUACCUUAA